UGUCCCCUGCUCUGUGCGCGGACCGUCCCCUUAUAACCCUACUACAGUUUGAAUACGGGAGCUCGGCUCCGAAAGCGGAUUGCAGACCUCCUCACCUCGGUGGGACGAAGGGAGCGCGAACCUUUUGGGCGGGCACCCACCUGCUAAGUAUAGUAGCAGGUUAUCCGGGGGAUAUUACGGCAGAGCGGGGAUAAC
rnacentral:other from 1 species